UGGGGAAUUUUGGACAAUGGGCGCAAGCCUGAUCCAGCAAUGCCGCGUGCAGGAUGAAGGCCUUCGGGUUGUAAACUGCUUUUGUACGGAACGAAAAGCCUCUCUCUAAUACAGGGGGGUGAUGACGGUACCGUAAGAAUAAGCACCGGCUAACUACGUGCCAGCAGCCGCGGUAAUACGUAGGGUGCAAGCGUUAAUCGGAAUUACUGGGCGUAAAGCGUGCGCAGGCGGUUUUGUAAGACAGUGGUGAAAUCCCCGGGCUCAACCUGGGAACUGCCAUUGUGACUGCAAGGCUGGAGUGCGGCAGAGGGGGAUGGAAUUCCGCGUGUAGCAGUGAAAUGCGUAGAUAUGCGGAGGAACACCGAUGGCGAAGGCAAUCCCCUGGGCCUGCACUGACGCUCAUGCACGAAAGCGUGGGGAGCAAACAGGAUUAGAUACCCUGGUAGUCCACGCCCUAAACGAUGUCAACUGGUUGUUGGGGAUUUAUUUCUUCAGUAACGAAGCUAACGCGUGAAGUUGACCGCCUGGGGGA
rnacentral:rRNA from 1 species